rnacentral:lncRNA from 1 species
CUUAUUUAGGAAUAGGAUGGGAGGCAGCUCCCAGCUUGACUUUCCCCUUUGUUUAGUGAUUGAUUUAUUUUCCUUUCAUACCUAAUAUGAGACUGUUCAUAGGAGCUUCAUUCACAGCAGGCGGAAGCACUCAUCUGGUGUCUAUCCAGUGUGGAUAGAUGGUGGUGUUCCAUGCAGUAGAAUUUUCCUCAGCAACACCAAGGAGCAAACCGCUGAUCCUAGCAGAGACACGCUGGAUCUCGGGACCGCUACGCUGAGUGGAAGACACCAGAUGGAAAAGGGUGCCUGCUCUGUGACCCAGAUUCUAUGAAGUCUCUAGACUCACUCAAACCACCUCUGACUAAAGAAGCCAGACCCAGUGUACUCUGGGGCCUGCCUGGAUGGGGCAGAGACGUUCUGUGGGGUGAUGGGUGAGCUCUGUCAUCCUGGGGGGCUCCCUGAGCACGUGCCAUGUAUGUGAAUGAUAUCUCAAUACAUUUCCCUUAAACGGGAGAGGCACACCCUGUCUGCACAUUUCCAGCAGUGGUGGUUGGGUGAGGGCCGUGACAGGCAGCUCAGCUGUAGAACUGUGGCCUCGCUCCUGUGCAAUUCCGUUCAUUUACUCAUUCAACAGUAUCUUUAGAGCAGCCACUGAGUUCCAGGCUCCGUCUGGCACUUGGGAAGCAGCAGUGAACAAAGGAAUGAAACCCGGAGCUGGCAUUCCCGCGAGUCUGCAGAGGCAGCUUCCUCCAGGGCUCCCUGCUGCCUGGGGCUGCAGCCUCCUCUCUCCAGGGGAUUUGGCACCACCAAAGCUCCCCGCUGGCAGCUGUCGGACUCCUUCAUGCAGAGCAGAGCGGUGCCCAUGACGCUGUUGCUCCCCAGUCUUCGUAAUGAUGAUGUAGUUUCCUUAAAGUCCUAGACUCAAAAGUGGGAAAGGGUCAGAGGCCAUAUCUCUAAUUUCAUUGGUAUAAUUGCAAAAGAAUAGAUUUUGGUGAGUGUGACUUCUGGAAGAAAGGUAAUAAAUUAAAAUAUACAAAGAAAAUUUUAAAAUAUUGAGUAAUUAUUCACCCCAAAUAGUCAAGCACCAUAUUAAGCUUCUUAAAUUAUGGUGCUGGCUUCUUUCUCGCUCUGUUGCUCAAAUAUUGUGGUAGUUUAGUGUGCAUGGGCUCUCCCUUCUGUAUUUCUCGUCAGAAGGCCUAGUUAGUUUCCACGAUGGUUAUGGACAUACGCUUUGGUGUGACUGUGUUCCCUGCAUUCGGAAAUGCCUUCCUAGGUCGGGAUGCUCACCUUCCACCACAUGCUCCCCAGGACCUUGCUCCUCCUGCCGGAUUUGAAAACUGGUCCGCAUCCCUCUCCUAUCCUUCUUUCUCAUAGCUUCUGCCUUUGACACUAAGAGGGUGGCCAAAUGACCUCCAGGCAAGAGAUGGUGGGGCUGGGGCAGGCAGGGGAAAGGACUGCAGUCCCGGUGCCCACACGGCUGCUCAGGCAGGCCCCAGGAUGAGCCUGCAGAGUCAGCAUGCUAAGGCCCUCUGCUUGCCUAGGGUCGACGUGUUCCCCUUCCCACGUUGGAGGCAUGUGAUCCUGUCUGCUGCACUAUGUGAAAGAAAACACCACUCGUUGCACAAUUUUCCUUUGUCUCCAUAGAUUCAAACUUUGUGAGAUAUCUCAGGAAUUCCCCUGGAGUUUGUACAAAAUCUUUGCAUAUAUUAUCAUUUACCUUAGGUGAAAACAUUUGAAAUCAACUAUUUCAAGGACUGGGAAUAGAGGAGAGAGGUGAAUGAGUGGCUCUUACUCAUUGGAAAGUUAAUGCCAUUCAGAAUGUAGUAAUCCAUUUAGAGGGCAUAAAUCUGAAUACGUGCUCUGUAGGCUACAUUCUAUAUGGCAGAGUUUUCAUCCCAGACAUCCAUUGCUCAUAUUGCCAAAAAACCAUGACUGGAGAGAAACUGUCAGCCUUUGAAACAAUACACGUCGUAGGCAAGUUUUUUGACUAAACGUAGAAAAUAUGACCUAUGUUUUAGUUCUUAUAUGCCAGCUAGUGAUAAUUUUUGGUGUGGGCUGUGAUAUGAUAAGGAAACAGAAAG